rnacentral:tRNA from 1 species
GGAGUCACUCCCUGAUCUGGUGACAGGCCCGGUCUUCAAAACCGGUGAGCACGCAGCCUUUCGUUGCGGUUGGCAGGUUCGAUUCCUGUGUGGCUCCG